CGGCCUGUUUAGGGGUGCUGGCGCUGCGUGCAACGCCGGCUGAGAUGAUACCCAUCGAACCUGAACCGGGUAAUGCCGGCGCAGGGAAAUAAACAAUCUGCGGA
rfam:Hymenobacter sp. CCM 8649 NODE_83_length_21408_cov_196.502_ID_165, whole genome shotgun sequence.